rnacentral:lncRNA from 1 species
GGAAAGCACAGUCAAUGGCGCCCUGCUUGGUGAGUAAUUCACUGAAUGAGUGAGUAAAUGGGUUCCAAGUUUAAUGUGAAGUGUACUUAUACAAAUUGGAAAAGAAUAAGUUAAGGAAGUGAUGAGUGAGAGGUGAGUGCAUUGAUUUUGGAGAGAACAUAAAAAAAUAGCCAUGCCCUUGCAGCUAAUCAGGCAAUUUAUAGAAAAGUUCCUUACAAGGCGGAAGAAGCAGAAAGUGAGAAAUGAGUGGGAUAAAUUAAAAUGAAUGUGGAAUUUGUUUUAUGAAUGUCUCUGGUGCCAGUUUUUUCUAAUCUAGAACGUCUUGGUUGCAAGAAAGAGAAACAUUUUUGGAUCCACUGAGGAAUACAGGUACGGGGAAUGUUAAAAGUUGACCCAGAAAACUCAGAGGAACAGCCAGGUCAGAGGAAGCAUGGACAGCAGAGCCAUCAAAAACCAAGGAAUGUGGAGUUCCUGGGAAAAGAAAAAAUUACCUCCUGUCUCCAUUUGGAGUUCACCUAUAUUCACGUAUGUCUGGUCGAUGGGCAGGAGGCCCCAAACAAGACGAACCUUAUGAAGGGAUGGCAAGGGCUCUGAGAGAAGAUUCACCAAUAAGAAGGAGCUUGGCACAUUCAGCCAGAUGUAGCUACAGGACAUGGGACUGGCCCGCAAACCUUGGCCUGCGACAUCCCUGAACUCUCCACCAUGCCACGCAUGGAUGCAGACAGGCUCAGUGGAAAGAAUCCGAUGCCUACACCUCAACGAAAACCCAGUCUCUCUGGGAAAUACUGUGCAUGGGGUACUCGUGUUGCUGUCAUAUGGCAUUCAGACUAGCGAUUUGAAGAUGUUCAACUGUGCUUCUCUAAAACCAAACCAGACGUGGUGCAUGGUUGGUAUUAACCAGUGUGUGAGCAGCUGUCAUUUUCCUUUCUUUAAAAUAACUUCCAAAGGUUCCCUAAAACUUCCAAUAACAUUGCAUGUUAAUAUUAACUAAACCGCUUCAGACUGUGCCGUUAUUUCUAAACCUUAAUAAUGUAAUAUGACUAUUAGCAAAUAAACUAGGUAUUUUAUAGGAAUUAUCCA